rnacentral:rRNA from 1 species
AGGACGAACGCUGGCGGCGUGCCUAACACAUGCAAGUCGAACGAGGUCCAUCCGGUAGCAAUACUGGUGAAGAUCAAGUGGCGAACGGGUGAGUAGCACGUGAGCAACCUGCCCCGAAGACCGGGACAACACCGGGAAACCGGUGCUAAUACCGGAUAUCCCCACCGAGUCGCAUGACUUGGUGAGGAAAUGGAUUCCGCUUUGGGAGGGGCUCGCGGCCUAUCAGCUUGUUGGUGAGGUAACGGCUCACCAAGGCGACGACGGGUA